AUGAGGGAGCUUCUUCAAGGUUCCAAGCUUGUCCAAGGAUCUCCUAUGGUCAAGCUUGAGGGGGAGUGUUGGAAUGAAGAAGUAAGAAGCUGGAGUUGAUGAAGAGACCAAGCAUCAAGAGCAAGCAAAUCCGGAACAAGCAGAUUUGAAUCUGUCCGUACAGUUUUGGCUUGCAAGUAACCAAACCUAACCUAGAGUGUCUUGGAAGUCAAGGCAAGUGGG
rnacentral:lncRNA from 1 species